rnacentral:rRNA from 2 species
CUGGUCUGAGAGGACCACCAGCCUCACAGGGACUGAGACACGGCCCAGACUCCUACGGGAGGCAGGAGUGGGGAAUUUUGGCCAAUGGGCGCAAGCCUGAUCCAGCAAUGCCGCGUGCAGGAUGAAGGCCUUCGGGUUGUAAACUGCUUUGUACGGAACGAAACGGCGAGCUCUAAUACAGUUGCUAAUGACGGUACCGUACGAAUA